rnacentral:lncRNA from 1 species
GAGACUCAGAACUCUAGUUGCGUACUGUUUGCAAAAGGACAUCACAAUUGGAGGCAUUGGUCCCAAAUCUGAAAGCUAAACCAGACAUGUGUCUGGUAAACAGAAGCUCCUCCGACCCUAAAGAGGAGUAAUUAACACAUGCAACAGAUGUAGGAAGGGCAGUAUUUUCCCUGGGCAAGGCUUUCUGGGAGUGCUCAGAGCUAAGGAGCCGCUGGCAUGAGAGUGAUGGCAGGAACUGGGCAGAGCAUAGAGAUCUGCCUAUCCCAUAGGCUUAGCCUGAUAAUUCUUGAUUGUGUGGAGUGGGUUUUACAGUUGAAUGCUGGCACAGUGCACUGGCAUCCUUUCAAAGGGCGUCGUCUGGUGGUGGUGCUAGUGGUGAUGGGGCUGGUGAAAUGGGAGCCCAAUACCAAUUUUGGUGCUUCACACCUGCUGAGGAGUUCAGCAUCAUCUUCAUCUCAUAGAAAGUACGGUGGUUUAAUUUAGCUGUGAGCUUAUAACUGUAAAUACUCAUGUACUUGUGUAAUUGAGUUGGUGGUAAUUUAUUUUUCGAACUCUUCUAAGAAGCUGAUCGUGAUCAUCCAAGCACAAAAUUGCCAGUAGGAAAUGAGAAGCAGAUGGCUGAAAAGGACCUCGCUAUGUUGUCUGUGCCCGUGUGGGAUGGCCCUGGGUGCUGGUUGCUCCUCUAGUGGGCUGCUUUGUCUCUGCCCAGUUUCCUCAAAGCGUAUGAGCCAGCCUGGCAGUGCAGUCCAAACUCUCCAGGCCUGCAUAUUUUAUUUUCCUCUGUUGGUUCAUUCUGUGUCCAUCAGUCCUCCUAACUGGUUCAUGUGCAAAGAAUGAUGGCUAACCACAGUGCUUCCUAAAGAAGUGA